rnacentral:rRNA from 1 species
GUGGGGAAUAUUGGACAAUGGGCGAAAGCCUGAUCCAGCCAUGCCGCGUGUGUGAAGAAGGUCUUCGGAUUGUAAAGCACUUUAAGUUGGGAGGAAGGGCAGUAAGUUAAUACCUUGCUGUUUUGACGUUACCGACAGAAUAAGCACCGGCUAACUUCGUGCCAGCAGCCGCGGUAAUACGAAGGGUGCAAGCGUUAAUCGGAACUACUGGGCGUAAAGCGCGCGUAGGUGGUUUUGUAAGUUGGAGGUGAAAUCCCCGGGCUCAACCUGGGAACUGCCUCCAAAACUGCAUGACUAGAGUACGGUAGAGGGUAGUGGAAUUUCCUGUGUAGCGGUGAAAUGCGUAGAUAUAGGAAGGAACACCAGUGGCGAAGGCGACUACCUGGACUGAUACUGACACUGAGGUGCGAAAGCGUGGGGAGCAAACAGGAUUAGAAACCCGUGUAGUCC